rnacentral:rRNA from 1 species
GACAGAGGGUGCAAACGUUGUUCGGAAUUACUGGGCGUAAAGCGUGUGUAGGCGGCUAUGAAGGUCGGAUGUGAAAGCCCCAGGCUUAACCUGGGAAGUGCACCCGAAACCACAUGGCUUGAGUAUCGGAGAGGUUGGUGGAAUUCUCGGUGUAGAGGUGAAAGUCGUAGAUAUCGAGAGGAACACCGGUGGCGAAGGCGGCCAACUGGACGAAUACUGACGCUGAGACACGAAAGCGUGGGGAGCAAACAGG